rnacentral:rRNA from 1 species
UACGGGGGGGGCAAGCGUUGUUCGGAAUUACUGGGCGUAAAGGGCUCGUAGGCGGCCAACUAAGUCACACGUGAAAUCCCUCGGCUCAACCGGGGAACUGCGUGUGAGACUGGAUGGCUUGAGUAUGGUAGAGGCGAGCGGAAUUCCCAGUGUAGCGGUGAAAUGCGUAGAUAUUGGGAAGAACACCGGUGGCGCAAGCGGCUCGCUGGGCCAUUACUGACGCUGAGGAACGAAAGCUAGGGGAGCGAAUGGG